UACGGAGGGGGCUAGCGUUGUUCGGAAUUACUGGGCGUAAAGCGCGCGUAGGCGGACCUGCAAGUCGGGGGUGAAAGCCCGAGGCUCAACCUCGGAACUGCCUUCGAUACUGCGGGUCUCGAGUCCGGGAGAGGUGAGUGGAAUUCCUAGUGUAGAGGUGAAAUUCGUAGAUAUUAGGAGGAACACCAGUGGCGAAGGCGGCUCGCUGGGCCAUUCCUGACGCUGAGACGCGAAAGCUAGGGGAGCGAACAGG
rnacentral:rRNA from 1 species